rnacentral:rRNA from 1 species
AUGCCUUCCUGGAACGACGAGGAAACUAGCUCGGAGGAGGAGUGCGAGGUCGUCAGCAUGGACAUGGGACUUAUGGAUGAACCAUACACCACUGUGGAGCCCCUUUUUUGUGGCCAACUUGAGCUUGCUCAUCCCAAGUGCAUUCUGCAUCAAAUGAGGCCUAUUAAGCGUGUUGCUUUUGAAGGGCCUGAAAAUGGUGUGAAUUGUGGUGUUGUAGAGUGGGUUGAUGGGCCUUGGCCAACUGUUCUUCAGAGAUGUUUGUGCAAGCUAUGGGAGAUGUUCCAUGAGAAGAACUUUGGAAGGGUACAGGACAAGGAGAAGUUUGAGAAGGAGUUGGCCAGGCUUAAGAGUGAACAUGAAAGGGAGUUGGCCAAGCUUAGGACUGAAAAUGACAAGCUUUGCAUUGAGUACACCAAGCUUAUUGAUGAUGUAUCCAAGAUGUUUGAUUGGCAGGAUGGUAGGGUGGACAAGAAGGUGCACCAGAAACAAGUGGAGGAGGAAGAACUUGAGAAGAAGAAGAAGGAGCUAGAGGAGAAAGCUAUGUUGGAGGUGCAGAUGGAAAAGCUCAAACUUGCAAAAGAGCAUAGGAAGGAUGUUCAAGGGGACAAAGAUGUUCUUAAGAAGGAGAAGGCAAAGCUUGAGCUUGUUGUUGCUGAGCUGCUGAAAGAAGGGUAUGGCGGCAAGGAGAAGUUAGAGCAAAUCAAGGCCAUCCUUGAGUCUUGA